rnacentral:rRNA from 1 species
GACAGAGGUGCCAAGCGUUUAGGCGGAAUCACUGGGCUUAAAGCGUGUGUAGGCGGAAUGGUAAGUACCUUGUGAAAUCCCCACGGCUCAACCGUGGAACUGCUUGGUAUACUGCUUUUCUUGAGCCACUUAGGGGCAACCGGAACAAACGGUGGAGCGGUGAAAUGCGUAGAUAUCGUUUGGAACGCCAAUGGUGAAAACAGGUUGCUGGGAGUGUGCUGACGCUGAGACACGAAAGCCAGGGGAGCAAACGGGG